rnacentral:rRNA from 1 species
ACGGAAGGCAGCAGUGGGGAAUAUUGGGCAAUGGGCGUAAGCCUGACCCAGCAACGCCGCGUGAAGGAAGAAGGCUUUCGGGUUGUAAACUUCUCUUGUGAGGGACGAGCAGAAGACGGUACCUCAUGAAUAAGCCACGGCUAACUACGUGCCAGCAGCCGCGGUAAUACGUAGGUGGCAAGCGUUGUCCGGGUUUACUGGGUGUAAAGGGCGUGUAGCCGGGUCGGCAAGUCAGAUGUGAAAUCCAUGGGCUUAACUCAUGAACUGCAUUUGAAACUGUUGAUCUUGAGUAUCGGAGAGGCAAUCGGAAUUCCUAGUGUAGCGGUGAAAUGCGUAGAUAUUAGGAGGAACACCAGUGGCGAAGGCGGAUUGCUGGACCACAACUGACGCUGAGACACGAAAGCGUGGGGAGCAAACAGGAUUAGAUACCCUGGUA